UACGGGGGGGGCAAGCGUUGUUCGGAAUUACUGGGCGUAAAGGGCUCGUAGGUGGCCAACUAAGUCAGACGUGAAAUCCCCAGGCUUAACCUGGGAACUGCGUCUGAUACUGGAUGGCUUGAAUUCGGGAGAGGGAUGCAGAAUUCCAGGUGUAGCGGUGAAAUGCGUAGAUAUCUGGAGGAAUACCGGUGGCGAAGGCGGCAUCCUGGACCGAUAUUGACACUGAUGAGCGAAAGCCAGGGGAGCAAACGGG
rnacentral:rRNA from 1 species